rnacentral:rRNA from 1 species
GUUGAUUCUGCCGGACCCGACUGCUAUCAGAGUGGGACUAAGCCAUGCGAGUCAACAUAGCAAUAUGUGGCAUACGGCUCAGUAACACGUAGUCAGCAUGCCCAGGGGACGUGGAUAACCUCGGGAAACUGAGGAUAAACCGCGAUAAGUCACUACUUCUGGAAUGGGUAAUGACUCAAAUCUAUAUGGCCCCUGGAUUGGACUGCGGCCGAUCAGGCUGUUGGUGAGGUAAUGGCCCACCAAACCUGUAACCGGUACGGGCUCUGAGAGGAGGAGCCCGGAGAUGGGCACUGAGACAAGGGCCCAGGCCCUAUGGGGCGCAGCAGGCGCGAAACCUCUGCAAUAGGCGAAAGCUUGACAGGGUUACUCUGAGUGAUUUCCGUUAAGGAAAUCUUUUGGCACCUCUAAAAAUGGUGCAGAAUAAGGGGUGGGCAAGUCUGGUGUCAGCCGCCGCGGUAAUACCAGCACCCCGAGUGGUCGGGACGUUUAUUGGGCCUAAAGCAUCCGUAGCCGGUUCUACAAGUCUUCCGUUAAAUCCAACUGCUUAACAGGUGGGCUGCGGAAGAUACUAUAGAGCUAGGAGGCGGGAGAGGCAAGCGGUACUCGAUGGGUAGGGGUAAAAUCCGUUGAUCCAUUGAAGACCACCAGUGGCGAAGGCGGCUUGCCAGAACGCGCUCGACGGUGAGGGAUGAAAGCUGGGGGAGCAAACCGGAUUAGAUACCCGGGUAGUCCCAGCUGUAAACGAUGCAGACUCGGUGAUGAGUUGGCUAUAUGCCAACUCAGUGCCGCAGGGAAGCCGUUAAGUUUGCCGCCUGGGGAGUACGGUCGCAAGACUGAAACUAAAGGAAUGGCGGGGAGC